rnacentral:rRNA from 1 species
UGGGGAAUAUUGCACAAUGGGGGAAACCCUGAUGCAGCGACGCCGCGUGAGUGAAGAAGUAUCUCGGUACGUAAAGCUCUAUCAGCAGGGAAGAAAAAAAUGACGGUACCUGACCAAGAAGCCCCGGCUAACUACGUGCCAGCAGCCGCGGUAAUACGUAGGGGGCAAGCGUUAUCCGGAUUUACUGGGUGUAAAGGGAGCGUAGACGGCAGCGCAAGUCUGGAGUGAAAUGCCGGGGCUCAACCCCGGAACUGCUUUGGAAACUGUGCGGCUUGAGUGCGGGAGGGGUAAGCGGAAUUCCUAGUGUAGCGGUGAAAUGCGUAGAUAUUAGGAGGAACACCAGUGGCGAAGGCGGCUUACUGGACCGUAACUGACGUUGAGGCUCGAAAGCGUGGGGAGCAAACAGG